UGACGGCUGCGUUGUCCCAUGGUGUUUAUACUUGCGUUCUAUUGUUUGUACAGAUGAAUGUGCCAGGUUUCUCUUAUGGAGAUUUUAUCAAUCAAUGUGAAUAUAUGAACUGUCUGAUGUAUAUUCUUAAUUGAAUCCUUGGGCUUGAUUUGGGUCAGACCCAUUCUGUUGCCCCCUGGGUGACUUCUCAAUGUAUUCUGAUUUGGUCUAUCUUUUUUUAUAGUACAAAAUAGGUUUGGACUGCCCUCUGCAGCACAAAUAAAAUUUUAAAAAAUUCCUGAACUGAUGUGGAGGGGGAUGUCCUGCUGGACCUGAUUGAGGCCAGUCCAGACCUGUGCCUCACAAUCAAAGAUUUUUUAAAAGAUCUUUAUCUUUCUACAGUCUCAUAAUGAUAUGAAAUAACAUGAAUGAUAGAUUAGUUGCUUUGAUCCAUUUUUUUGUGCUCAGACUUUUCUCCUGCAGGCUGUUCAACACCUAGUUCCUCCACAGACACAUUAUCCUUCUAACGUUAUUUAGACCUGAUAUCUCCAGAAAGGCUGUCUAAAAAAAGCCAGGACAACCUUAGGAGAUGAGGCCAUCGACUCCACAGCAGCAAAAGAGAUGGUCCGAGAUGCCCUGACUUGUAGACCUGGUGGGCAAGAUGUAUUAGAAGAGGACCAGACAACCAAAACAUUGGACCAGAGAACCAGGAGAGAGAUGAUUGCCAUCUUAGUCAGCCACAAUCCUGCAAUGAUUUGGACAAUGAUAUGUCCUCCCUGCUGCUGCUGCUUCAUCUCCCACCAGCAGCAGGAGGGAAGAGGACCAAGAUCAGUGCCAGUGAUGCUGUGGGCAGACUAGUGCACUUUCAUAAGUCAUGCUGCAGCAUUGUAGACCAUCUGGAUGGGAGCCAUGGUCGACGGACAUACCUCCUUGCCAUCGGAAGAAGACGUAGUAGUUGUCAAUCUUGCUCUAACGUGGUGGACAAGAGGCUUGUUCCCUGCCAGGACCUGAGCCCUAGGACCAUGCCUCAGGACUACCUGACAUGAUGACUCCUUGCUGUCCCC